rnacentral:rRNA from 1 species
CUACGUGCCAGCAGCCGCGGUAAUACGUAGGGCGCGAGCGUUGUCCGGAAUUAUUGGGCGUAAAGGGCUUGUAGGCGGUUGGUCGCGUCUGCCGUGAAAUUCUCUGGCUUAACUGGGGGCGUGCGGUGGGUACGGGCUGACUUGAGUGCGGUAGGGGAGACUGGAACUCCUGGUGUAGCGGUGGAAUGCGCAGAUAUCAGGAAGAACACCGGUGGCGAAGGCGGGUCUCUGGGCCGUUACUGACGCUGAGGAGCGAAAGCGUGGGGAGCGAACAGGAUUAGAUACCCUGGUAGUCCACGCUGUAAACGUUGGGCACUAGGUGUGGGGGCCACCCGUGGUUUCUGCGCCGUAGCUAACGCUUUAAGUGCCCCGCCUGGGGAGUACGGCCGCAAGGUUAAAACUCAAAUGAAUUGACGGGGGCCCGCACAAGCGGUGGAGCAUGUGGUUUAAUUCGAUGCAACGCGAAGAACCUUACCUACUCUUGACAUCCAUGGAAUUCUGUAGAGAUACGGGAGUGC